rnacentral:rRNA from 1 species
ACUACGGAGAGUUUGAUCCUGGCUCAGGAUGAACGCUAGCGGGAGGCCUAAUACAUGCAAGUCGAACGGUAACAGGGUAGCAAUAUCGCUGACGAGUGGCGUACGGGUGCGUAACACGUACACAACCUGCCCAAUACUGGAGCAUAGCCUCGGGAAACUGAGGGUAAUUCUCCAUAAUAUAUUAGAAUGGCAUCAUUUUAAUAUUAAAGUAACAACGGUAUUGGAUGGGUGUGCGUCUGAUUAGCUAGUUGGUGUGGUAACGGCUCACCAAGGCAACGAUCAGUAGCUGGUCUGAGAGGAUGAUCAGCCACACGGGCACUGAGACACGGGCCCGACUCCUACGGGAGGCAGCAGUAGGGAAUAUUGGACAAUGGAGGAAACUCUGAUCCAGCCAUCCCGCGUGAAGGAUUAAGGUCCUAUGGAUUGUAAACUUCUUUUCUUUGGGAAUAAAAUCUCCGAUUCCUCGGAGCUUGAAGGUACCAGGG